UACGGGGGGGGCAAGCGUUGUUCGGAAUUACUGGGCGUAAAGGGUUCGUAGGUGGCUUGCUAAGUCAGACGUGAAAUCCCUCGGCUUAACUGGGGAACUGCGUCUGAUACUGGCGAGCUUGAGUGCAGGAGAGGAACGCGGAAUUCCAGGUGUAGCGGUGAAAUGCGUAGAUAUCUGGAGGAACACCGGUGGCGAAGGCGGCGUUCUGGACUGCAACUGACACUGAUGAACGAAAGCCAGGGGAGCAAACGGG
rnacentral:rRNA from 1 species